CACACACGCACACACACACACACCCCCCCGCACACACACACACACACACACACACACACACCCACCCCCCCCCACCCCCCCCACCCGCACACACACACACACACACACUGACACGUUGUGUCCCUCUCUUUGUAAACAGGUCUCUUCAUUUGCAUGCGUUUGAAAGGAAUACUUCAUCCCGUCUCCCUGCCUCCUCGUUUGAAUAGCUGUCAGGCUGCUUUGCAUAAACCAGCCACGUCUUUCACUGUGCUUUACCAUACUUUACCACACCUGUCUGUGCUUUACCAUGCUUUACCACACCUCUCUGUGCUUUACAAUGCUUCCCUAUGCUUUACCAGACCUCUCUGUGCUUUACAAUGCUUCCCUAUGCUUUACCAGACCUCUCUGUGCUUUACAAUGCUUCCCUAUGCUUUACCAGACCUCUCUGUGCUUUACAAUGCUUCCCUGUGCUUUACCACACCUCUCUGUGCUUUACAAUGCUUCCCUAUGCUUUACCAGACCUCUCUGUGCUUUACAAUGCUUCCCUAUGCUUUACCACACCUCUCUGUGCUUUACAAUGCUUCCCUAUGCUUUACCAGACCUCUCUGUGCUUUACAAUGCUUCCCUAUGCUUUACCAGACCUCUCUGUGCUUUACAAUGCUUCCCUGUGCUUUACCAGACCUCUCUGUGCUUUACAAUGCUUCCCUAUGCUUUACCAGACCUCUCUGUGCUUUACAAUGCUUCCCUGUGCUUUACCAGACCUCUCUGUGCUUUACAAUGCUUCCCUAUGCUUUACCAGACCUCUCUGUGCUUUACAAUGCUUCCCUAUGCUUUACCAGACCUCUCUGUGCUUUACAAUGCUUCCCUGUGCUUUACCAGACCUCUCUGUGCUUUACAAUGCUUCCCUAUGCUUUACCAGACCUCUCUGUGCUUUACAAUGCUUCCCUGUGCUUUACCACACCUCUCUGUGCUUUACAAUGCUUCCCUAUGCUUUACCAGACCUCUCUGUGCUUUACAAUGCUUCCCUAUGCUUUACCAGACCUCUCUGUGCUUUACAAUGCUUUCCUGUGCUUUACCAGACCUCUCUGUGCUUUACAAUGUUUGCCUUUAUUACACUCAGCUCUGCUUUUGAUUAUCUUUUGGUUUUUUUUACCUAGAAAUGUGUGUUUUUUGUUCAGUUCAUGGAUAACGGAUUCCAGGGAAGCGAGCGGAGUGGUGUUACUGGGAAAGGGGCGGAGUCGAGGGAGAUGAUUGGCUGAUAGACGGGUUCAAGAGAAUCCUGGUUAUUGUUCUGAGCGCUUAUCAGAGAAACUGCUGACCUGGACUGGAAACUUGUUAUUGAGAAUGAGAGAGAAAGACAUUAACCCUUCAAACAGAGUCCCACAGCGACAGCAUGGGAAGCAUUGUGAAGCACAGAGAGGUCUGGUAAAACAGUGCUUUACAAUGCUUCCCUAUGCUUUACCAGACCUCUCUGUGCUAUACAAUGCUUCCCUAUGCUUUACCAGACCUCUCUGUGCUUUACAAUGCUUCCCUAUGCUUUAUCACACCUCUCUAUGCUUUACAAUGCUUCCCUAUGCUUUACCAGACCUCUCUGUGCUUUACAAUGCUUGCCUAUGCUUUACCAGACCUCUCUGUGCUUUACAAUGCUUCCCUAUGCUUUACCAGACCUCUCUGUGCUUUACAAUGCUUCCCUGUGCUUUACCAGACCUCUCUGUGCUUUACAAUGCUUCCCUAUGCUUUACCAGACCUCUCUGUGCUUUACAAUGCUUCCCUGUGCUUUACCACACCUCUCUGUGCUUUACAAUGCUUCCCUAUGCUUUACCAGACCUCUCUGUGCUUUACAAUGCUUCCCUAUGCUUUACCAGACCUCUCUGUGCUUUACAAUGCUUUCCUGUGCUUUACCAGACCUCUCUGUGCUUUACAAUGUUUGCCUUUAUUACACUCAGCUCUGCUUUUGAUUAUCUUUUGGUUUUUUUUACCUAGAAAUGUGUGUUUUUUGUUCAGUUCAUGGAUAACGGAUUCCAGGGAAGCGAGCGGAGUGGUGUUACUGGGAAAGGGGCGGAGUCGAGGGAGAUGAUUGGCUGAUAGACGGGUUCAAGAGAAUCCUGGUUAUUGUUCUGAGCGCUUAUCAGAGAAACUGCUGACCUGGACUGGAAACUUGUUAUUGAGAAUGAGAGAGAAAGACAUUAACCCUUCAAACAGAGUCCCACAGCGACAGCAUGGGAAGCAUUGUGAAGCACAGAGAGAACAAGUCAUGGAAGACGUUCUUCACGGUGAUGCAUUCGUUCAGGAGACAGAACUCCUUCAUCCAGCUGGCCGGUCACCAGG